rnacentral:rRNA from 1 species
CCUANGGGUGGCAGCAGUGAGGAAUAUUGCGCAAUGGGGGAAACCCUGACGCAGCGACGCCGCGUGGGUGAUGAAGGCCCUUGGGUCGUAAAGCCCUGUCAAGUGGGAAGAAGUGCUAGCGGGUUAAUACCCCGCUAGUUUGACGGUACCACUAAAGGAAGCACCGGCUAACUCCGUGCCAGCAGCCGCGGUAAUACGGAGGGUGCGAGCGUUGUUCGGAAUUACUGGGCGUAAAGAGCGCGUAGGCGGCCAGGUAAGUCAGAUGUGAAAGCCCACGGCUCAACCGUGGAAGUGCAUCUGAAACUGCUUGGCUUGAGUAUGGGAGGGGAAAGUGGAAUUCCUGGUGUAGAGGUGAAAUUCGUAGAUAUCAGGAGGAACACCGGUGGCGAAGGCGACUUUCUGGACCAAUACUGACGCUGAGGCGCGAAAGCGUGGGGAGCAAACAGGAUUAGAUACCCCGNUANUC